GACGAACGCUGGCGGCGUGCCUAAUACAUGCAAGUCGAACGGAGGGGGGAUGGGUGAGUAACACGUGGGUAACCUCCCAUCAGAGGGGAUAACACUUGGAAACAGGUGCUAAACCGAUACUGAUGGAUGGAGACGCGGGGCAUUAGCUAGUUGGGGAGGUAACGGCUCACCAAGGCCACGAUGCAUAGCUGGCCUUAGAGGGUGAUCGGCCACACUGGGACUGAGACACGGCCCAGACUCCUACGGGAGGCAGCAGUGGGGAAUCUUCGGCAAUGGACGAAAGCCUGACCGAGCAACGCCGCGUGAGUGAAGAAGGUUUUCGGAUCGUAAAACUCUGUUGUUAGAGAAGCGGUAUCUAACCAGAAAGCCACGGCUAACUACGUGCCAGCAGCCGCGGUAAUAC
rnacentral:rRNA from 1 species